rnacentral:rRNA from 1 species
GACGAACGCUGGCGGCGUGCUUAACACAUGCAAGUGGAGCGACGAACCAGGCUUCGGCCUGGGGCAAAGCCGCGAACGGGUGAGUAACACGUGGGUAAUCUGCCCCGACGACCGGGACAACUCGAGGAAACUCGGGCUAAUACCGGAUGUGCUCUUUUCGCAUCAGCGAAUUUGAGGAAAGGAAGCUUCGGCCUCCGCAUCGGGAUGGGCCCGCGGCCCAUUAGCUUGUUGGUGAGGAACGGCUCACCAAGGCUUCGAUGGGUAGCUGGUCUGAGAGGACGAUCAGCCACACUGGGACUGAGACACGGCCCAGACUCCUACGGGAGGCAGCAGUGGGGAAUCUUGCGCAAUGCGCGAAAGCGUGACGCAGCAACGCCGCGUGGGGGAAGAAGGCUUUCGGGUUGUAACCCUUUCAGGAGGGACGAAGCCUGGUCGGUGAAUAGCCGAGCCAGGUGACGGUACC